rnacentral:snRNA from 1 species
AUACUUACCUUGCGUUUGCAGUCUUGGGUGAUCAAGGAUACCUGACUGUCGUCAGUGAGUCUGCGCAUGGCACAGCGACCCAUUCGCUUCACUCAGACAAUCUGGCGGGUUUAUGUCCAUGAUGUAAGCCGAUGCACAAUCUCUUGAACGGACGAACCGGCUUUCGAGCUGGUUCGCC